GUCGUACAGGUCUCCGUAGGUGAACCUGCGGAGGGAUCAUUACACAAAUAUGAAGGCGGGCUGGAACCUCUCGGGGUUACAGCCUUGCUGAAUUAUUCACCCUUGUCUUUUGCGUACUUCUUGUUUCCUUGGUGGGUUCGCCCACCACUAGGACAAACAUAAACCUUUUGUAAUUGCAAUCAGCGUCAGUAACAAAUUAAUAAUUACAACUUUCAACAACGGAUCUCUUGGUUCUGGCAUCGAUGAAGAACGCAGCGAAAUGCGAUAAGUAGUGUGAAUUGCAGAAUUCAGUGAAUCAUCGAAUCUUUGAACGCACAUUGCGCCCUUUGGUAUUCCAAAGGGCAUGCCUGUUCGAGCGUCAUUUGUACCCUCAAGCUUUGCUUGGUGUUGGGCGUCUUGUCUCUAGCUUUGCUGGAGACUCGCCUUAAAGUAAUUGGCAGCCGGCCUACUGGUUUCGGAGCGCAGCACAAGUCGUACUCUCUAUCAGCAAAGGUCUAGCAUCCAUUAAGCCUUUUUUCAACUUUUGACCUCGGAUCAGGUAGGGAUACCCGCUGAACUUAAGCAUAUC
rnacentral:rRNA from 1 species